CAGCAGCCGCGGUAAUACGUACCCCACAAGUUGUGUCCACUUAUAUUGGGCUUAAAGCGUCCGUAGCUGGUUUGAUAGGUCUUUGGUGAAAUCGGCAGGCUCAACCUGUCGGCGUGCCGAAGAUACCGUCAGACUCGGAACUGGGAGAAGUCAGAGGUAUUCCCGGGGGAGGGGUCAAAUCCAGUAAUCCCGGGAGGACCACCUAUAGCGAAGGCUUCUGACUAGAACAGGUUCGACAGUGAGGGACGAAAGCUGGGGGAGCAAAUAGGAUUAGAUACCCUAGUAGUCCCAGCCGUAAACGUUGUGGAUUAGGUGGUACAUGACCUCCGAGGUCAUGUAGCGCCAUGAAGUGAAAACGUUAAAUCCACCGCCUGGGGAGUACAGCCGCAAGGCCGAAACUUAACGGAAUAGGCGGGGGAGCACUACAAGGGGUGUGCGCUGCGGUUUAAUCGGAUUCAACACCGUAAAUAUUACCCGGGGCGACAGCACUAUGAAGGCCAGUCUGAAGGGCUUGCCGGAGGCGCUGAGAGGUGUUGCAUGGUCAUCGUCAGCUCGUACUGUGAAGCGUCCUGUUAACUCAGGUAACGGGCGAGACCCGCGUCAUCAGUUGCUACUUACUCCUGCGGGAGUGGGGCACUCUGAUGAGACUGCCACAGAUAAAUGUGGAGGAAGGUGCGGGCGACGGUCGGUCUGUAUGGCCCGAAUCUCCGGGGCUACACGCGGUCCACAAUGGUAUGGACAAUCGGAUGCAACUCCGAGAGGAGAAGCUAAUCCCAUAAACCAUAUCGAAGUCCGGAUCGAGGGUUGUAACCCACCCUCGUGAAGCUGAAAUCCCUAGUAAUCGUGUUUCACUAAAGCACGGUGAAUAUGUCCCUGCCCCUUGCACNC
rnacentral:rRNA from 1 species